rnacentral:rRNA from 1 species
GCCUAUACAUGCAGUCGAGCGGACAGAUGGGAGCUUGCUCCCUGAUGUUAGCGGCGGACGGGUGAGUAACACGUGGGUAACCUGCCUGUAAGACUGGGAUAACUCCGGGAAACCGGGGCUAAUACCGGAUGCUUGUUUGAACCGCAUGGUUCAAACAUAAAAGGUGGCUUCGGCUACCACUUACAGAUGGACCCGCGGCGCAUUAGCUAGUUGGUGAGGUAAUGGCUCACCAAGGCGACGAUGCGUAGCCGACCUGAGAGGGUGAUCGGCCACACUGGGACUGAGACACGGCCCAGACUCCUACGGGAGGCAGCAGUAGGGAAUCUUCCGCAAUGGACGAAAGUCUGACGGAGCAACGCCGCGUGAGUGAUGAAGGUUUUCGGAUCGUAAAGCUCUGUUGUUAGGGAAGAACAAGUACCGUUCGAAUAGGGCGGUACCUUGACGGUACCUAACCAGAAAGCCACGGCUAACUACGUGCCAGCAGCCGCGGUAAUACGUAGGUGGCAAGCGUUGUCCGGAAUUAUUGGGCGUAAAGGGCUCGCAGGCGGUUUCUUAAGUCUGAUGUGAAAGCCCCCGGCUCAACCGGGGAGGGUCAUUGGAAACUGGGGAACUUGAGUGCAGAAGAGGAGAGUGGA